CGGAGGGGAGUCAGGUGAGGGUGCCGCUAGCAGCACAUGGCCAGCGGAAGCCGCCUCUCGCGGAAAGCCAGCACUGGUCCUGACAGGGAUAUUUGAGACCGUUAAGGUAAGUGGCAAGUUGGAAGUUUGGAGAAGGUUGUGUAUCAAUGGGAGGAUGGGAGUUUAGAGAAUGUUGAGUUUGUGUGGGAGGGAAGAGUUUGGAAAAGGGUGAGUGGGAGUGCGGGUGUUUGCAGAAGGUUGACGGUGAAUGUGGGAGUUUGCAGAAGGUUGACGGUGAAUGUGGGAGUUUGCAGAAGGUUGAGGGUGAAUGGGGGAGUUUGGAGAAGGUUGAGGGUGAAUGUGGGAGUUUGGAGAAGGUUGAGCAUGAGUGGGUGGGUGGGAUAUUUGAGACCAUUAAGGUCAGUGGCAAGGUGAACAUUUGGAGGAGGUUGUGUAUCAAUGGGAGGGUGGGAGUUUAGAGAAGGUGGAAGUUGAGUGGCAGUGUGGGCAUUUGAAGACCUUUGAAGAUU